rnacentral:misc_RNA from 1 species
CUGGGCAGUUUUGUGACCCAACUUAGGCUAGCAGUUUGGUUUGGUUUUUGGCUUUUUUGGGUUCAGUGGUCUUCAUAAAAAUUGUAGCCCUAUAUCUAAGACUUCUAAUGAUAUCAAAUUCAGAUCAUUUGGACAUUUUUUGAGUGAGUUAUGGCCAAAAGACUGAUUACUGUUCAUAUGAUCAAAUUCUGGGUUCACAUUUUAGGUAAUCCGGAUUUGGUCACUUUUUAGGUGAAAUUUUGGCAUGACUUCUACAUGAAAAUUGGUCUAUUAUAGGUAAUAUUUCACCUCCAAUUGGCCUCAUA